rnacentral:lncRNA from 1 species
ACCUCAAAGUACUAUUAAAUCCUCGACAAUUAUCAAGAAACCUCAUAUCUGAUACUUUACUUGCACUUCCAAUCAUCUCAAAAUCCCAACCAAACUGAUCAUAAGCAAGGGCAGAAGACACAUAACAGGAAUCAAGCAAAACUCAAAACUAAAAAACCGUCUUAAGACAAAUCGCAUAUCGAUCCAUCACUAUAAAACCAAGUAAAAUCCAGAAAGAAAAGGGGAAUAGCAAAAACCUUAGCUAAUUCAGCCUCCAUUGGAUCAAUGCUCGUUAGUCUCCUCCUCUUCAGCGCUGGCGGAGAAUAACAAUCAAAAAUCAUCAGAGACUUCACAGGAAACCUUUCCAGAGAGAGUACUCCGUGCGCCUCUAUACAUACCUUCUUCUACAGUGUGCGGGUGCAUAUAUUAUAUUCACCCCUAUGCGCCUUCGAUAUAUGUACCAUUUCCUUCCUCGCCGUUACUGGACUUUCCUUUUCUUCAACUCUGCCGCCGGCACGCGCGUCACGUGCGAUUCCUCUUGGAUAAAACCGACCCGACCCUUUAUGGUGGGCCUUGUUAUUAUUAUUUUUUUUUUUCACACCGCUCU